rnacentral:rRNA from 1 species
AACGCUGGCGGCGCGCUUAACACAUGCAAGUCGAGCGAGAACCAAGCCCUCGGGCUUGGGGACAGCGGCGAACGGGUGAGUAACACGUGGGUAAUCAACCCUCGACAUUGGGAUAGCCCGGGGAAACCCGGAUUAAUACCGGAUACCCCAUCUGGCCUUCGGGCCGGCCGGAAAAGGUAGCUUCGGCCUCCGGUCGGUGACGAGCCCGCGGCGGAUCAGCUUGUUGGUGGGGUAAUGGCCCACCAAGGCGACGAUCCGUAGCUGGUCUGGGAGGACGAUCAGCCACACUGGGACUGAGACACGGCCCAGACUCCUACGGGAGGCAGCAGUGGGGAAUCUUGCGCAAUGGGCGAAAGCCUGACGCAGCGACGCCGCGUGAGGGAAGAAGGCCUUCGGGUUGUAAACCUCUUUCAGGAGGGACGAAGCCACUCGGGUUAAUAGCCCAGAGGGUGACGGUACCUCCAGAAGAAGCCCCGGCUAACUACGUGCCAGCCGCCGCGGUAACAC